rnacentral:misc_RNA from 1 species
GUGAACGCCCUCACGGGCUUAUAACUAUUCCAAACCUCUGUGAACCGUGCCCUUCGGGGCUGUUUUACAAACAUGGUGUAAUGAACGUCAUAUAUCAUAACAAAACA